GGAGAUAGCUCAGUGGUAGAAUGCAUGUCUAGCAGCCUGAGGCCCUGGGUUUGAUCCCCAGGACCA
rnacentral:tRNA from 1 species